AUGCUAAUACAGGUGCGGCAUUCGCGGCGUGAGCCUUGGCGGAACCCUCUGCCCCGUCCCGCCGCCCUUAUGCCUUCCUCUCUGUGCCCCUACUCGAGGGUGCCCAUGGACGAGGUGGGUGUGGACAAGGGCCGCCGCGGCGUCGGGCUGCGGCCCCUGGCAGGGUUCCUGUUGGGGAUGCUGGCCAUGGCCGUGCCCCUGGGCUACUUUGCCGUGAAGGCCAACAGCGAAGCAUGCCACCUUGGUCUCCAAGCAGAGGAAAGGUUCCACAAUGUCACCCAGCACCUGCGGGACCAGCUGACCCGAGCCCAGGAGGCCCUGCAGGACGCCUACGCCACCUGCAAAAGCACCGUGGAAAACCUGAAUGCGUCCCUGAGCGAGGCGAAAACUCAGGAGCAGAAGCAACGCGAGCAAGUGCAGGCCCAGAAGGAUGAGAUCGCGGAUUUGAAGCAGAAGCUGCAGGAGACUCGGCAGACGGUGCAGCAGCUCAGGUCAGCCCCGCCCCUCGCCCCGCCCCUUCCCGGGACCCGGGACCCCCGCCGGAACAUCCACGCUGCCCCCGGUACACCCGAGUCCCAGGGCGGGCAGGAGGCCGGCCUGGCCCGCAGCUGCCUGAUUGUCCCCGUCUUCGCUCCAGGAAUGAGAUCUCCGCCACCCGCCAAAGGAGUCCCAAAAGCGCGGCCGUCUCCGUCGGCGCGGUGCCCGCGGCGCUUCUGCUCCCGGUCCUCGCUGCGCUGCGGCCCUGACGUCCCCGGAGCCCGCCGGUGGCAGCCUGCGCUGAUCUGGUUCCAGGUCCUUUCGGCUUUCCUGUCCGCUGACCCAAGGUUGCUCGGGACAACCCCACAGCGCGGUUGGGGGUUGCAGGGUGGGCAUCAUGGAGGGGACGCGGGCUGCACCGGGGUGGAAAGCCCCUCUUGGGGGUGGGAUGGGGCCCCUGCCUCCGCAUCUCACUGUCACGGUUGAGGUCCCUUUUCUUCUGGAGUCUUUCUAUUCUGAAACAAUAAACAGUUUCGAGAAAAAAGAACUGGCUCCCAGGUUCCAGGAGUGUGGCUGUCACCCAGGGUUGGGGCGGCCCCUGUGGGUGAGGCUGGGAAACCCGCUGCACCCACACUCUGACGUCCUGCGACCCGCUGGGGCUCCCAGCCACCACGCCGCCGGAAGCAGCCUCCGCACCUGGCAGGGCCUGCGGGCCCGCAGCCCCCUCCUUGGUCCUAGUGGGGAAACCGAGGCUGGGGAGGGUAACUGUCCUGCUUUUCCCUGCCUCCUGCAGAAAGUGCUGGGUUUGGGUUUAAACCGCCAUGCGCAGGCGCAUUUAGGCCAAGCCUCCGUCAGAAUGUUCUCGUUUCUAUCCCCCAAGCUCUUAUUUGUCCUGCAGCACCCCACUCAGUUUUUGUUUUUUGGGUUUUUGUUUUGUUUUGUUUUUCUUCCGGUACCAGGAAUCGAACUCACAACCUUGAGCUUGCCAGGCAGGCGCUUUGCCGCUGAGCCAAAUCCCCAGCCCCACUCUGGGCCUCCCCCUCCAGAAAAGUUCUUCAAAAGUGACAGCUGCAUUGCCCGCAGACACUUCAGCCGCCUCUGGCUUCCUCCCGGCUGCACGGUCUCUUCCUGCCUGUUAUCUUUCUUCCUCCAAGUUGCCCUGGAAUCUGUGUGACUUCCCGUCUAUGGCCGUAGGGCCUGGAGCGGAGUCUUGGGUCCCAGAUUUCUGCCGUGCCCAGACCUCAUGGUCAGUGGAAGACAGGGGCCUGUUGCCCCGUUCUCCAGGGACACUGCACCCACCCCUGCCGCCAGCCGGCCCAGACCUCUCUGAGCGCUGGGCCUGGGCCCUCGCUCUGCCCGGCUGGGGAUGUUUGGGAGGGUACGUGGGCAGUACCGUCCCGGGUGGGCCAGAUGGUCGCAGCCUCUCGGUCACCGCCACUCGGAGUCGGUGCAGAGGGCCUGUUCCCUGGAGCUGCCACCUGGGGUUUGCAGGGGAGGCAAGGCUGCUGGGAGCGACCCGGAGGGGACCGGCGAC
ensembl:lincRNA bone marrow stromal antigen 2-like